CAUUUACAGGUGUACAGUCAGCAUUUGCAGGUGUACAGUCAGCAUUUGUAGGUGUACAGUCAGCAUUUGUAGGUGUACAGUCAGCAUUUGCAGGUGUACAGUCAGCAUUUGUAGGUGUACAGUCAGCAUUUGCAGGUGUACAGUCAGCAUUUGCAGGUGUACAGUCAGCAUUUGUAGGUGUACAGUCAGCAUUUGCAGGUGUACAGUCAGCAUUUGCAGGUGUACAGUCAGCAUUUA